GUAUAGACCCGAAACCCGGUGAUCUAGCCAUGGGCAGGUUGAAGGUUGGGUAACACUAACUGGAGGACCGAACCGACUAAUGUUGAAAAAUUAGCGGAUGACCUGUGGCUGGGGGUGAAAGGCCAAUCAAACCGGGAGAUAGCUGGUUCUCCCCGAAAGCUAUUUAGGUAGCGCCUCGUGAAUUCAUCUCCGGGGGUAGAGCACUGUUUCGGCUAGGGGGCCAUCCCGGCUUACCAACCCGAUGCAAACUGCGAAUACCGGAGAAUGUUAUCACGGGAGACACACGGCGGGUGCUAACGUCCGUCGUGAAGAGGGAAACAACCCAGACCGCCAGCUAAGGUCCCAAAGUCAUGGUUAAGUGGGAAACGAUGUGGGAAGGCCCAGACAGCCAGGAUGUUGGCUUAGAAGCAGCCAUCAUUUAAAGAAAGCGUAAUAGCUCACUGGUCGAGUCGGCCUGCGCGGAAGAUGUAACGGGGCUAAACCAUG
rnacentral:rRNA from 3 species